rnacentral:rRNA from 1 species
GGAGCAACGCCGCGUGAAGGAUGAAGGUCUUCGGAUCGUAAACUUCUUUUGUUAGGGAACAAUUUUGAGCGUACCUAACGAAUAAGUCACGGCUAAUCACGUGCCAGCAGCCGCGGUAAUACGUGAGUGGCUAGCGUUAUCCGGAAUUAUUGGGCGUAAAGCGUCAGUAGGAGGUUUGUUAAGUGAGAUGUAAAAGCCUUUGGCUUAACCAAGGGACGGCAUCUCAUACUGGCAAGCUAGAGGAAGGUAGAGGCAAACGGAAUUCUCGGAGUAGGGGUAAUAUCCGUAGAGCCCGAGAGGAACACCAAUAGCGAAGGCAGUUUGCUGGACCUUUCCUGACUCUCAGUGACGAAAGCGUGGGGAGCGAACCGGAUUAGAUACCCGGGUAGUCCACGCCGUAAACUAUGGGUACUUGGUGCAGGUGGUAUCGAUCCCUUCUGUGCCUAAGCUAACGCGUUAAGUACCCCGCUUGGGGAGUACGGCCGCAAGGCUAAAACUCAAAGGAAUUGACGGGGAUCCACACAAGGCGGUGGAGCAUGUGGUUUAAUUCGACGAUAAGCGAGGAACCUUACCUAGGCUUGACAUCUCGGGAACCCUUUGGAAACAAGGGGGUGCCCCUCGGGGAAACCCGAUGACAGGUGCUGCAUGGUCGUCGUCAGCUCGUGCCGUGAGGUGUACGGUUAAGUCCGAUAACGAGCGCAACCCUUGUCACUAGUUGUAUUUCUCUAGUGAGACUGCCUCCGUAAGGAGGAGGAAGGUGGGGAUGACGUCAGAUCAGCAUGGCUCUUACGCCUAGGGCUACACACGUGCUACAAUGGGGUAUACAAUGGGUAGCCAACCCGCGAGGGGGAGCUAAUCUCAUCAAAGUACCUCCAAGUUCGGAUUGAAGGCUGCAAUUCGCCUUCAUGAAGUUGGAAUCG